GUUUUCGCCCACGACGGUGUCCGCGUAAGGCACCCUGAAUCGCGGGUUCCCCAACCACACCCUCCUACGGCUACCGCCUCCCCAUACUGGUGUGCAGACACCGCUCCGCGCGCGCGCCACAUCCUGAGCCCGGCGAGCGUGCAGCCCUUCCGCGCCGCCGGCGAGGAAGUGGACGUGCCGGCUGCCCGGCUAGGGUGCAACUGGCGCGCCUGCGGAGUCCAACAGAUUUGAAUAUGCUCUGAAGGCACUAGGGACCAGGUCUCCCAUCUCAAAGUUAUUGUACAGGGACGCAGCUGAAAAAAGCUUAGAAUUUCUCUCUGCGAAGUAUGCCGGCUGAUCGGGCGCCGGCAGUGACACGCUCCCGUUCUCCAGGAUGGACAUGACGGAGGACAUGAGCGGCCUGCCGUUGGGGUCGUCCUGGACGCACAGGAGCCCGACGUGGAUGCAGAGCAAGAGUUCAUCCAACACGCAGCUCUCCACGAUGGAUGCGUCUACCAGGUCACUUGCAUUCCCUUCCUUCCACAGCUUCCAUGCCUGAAAAAGGUACCAAAUAAUUAGCACAGGCUCAUGGCUGCUAUUUUUGCCAAUAACUACUGCAUGCAUGGCUUCAGAGUCUGUUUAGCAAUCUCCUACGUAUAGGAUGUCCCUACAGUUUCCAAUCAAAAUACAAAAGAUGCAGAAAAAAGCACCAAAACAUCUGCUCUGUUCUGAUAUUAUACCACUUAUAGUUAUAAAACUGACUGCAUGUCAGUAUGCUUUGGUGAUGACUAUCUCUAAAAUAAUUAUCUGAACUGUUUAACUUGUUUUCUCUGUUCUUUUACAACAGUGAGCUCGUUGGAAUAAAGAAAGACUAUAUUGAUUAAUAUGCAGUUUUCAAGGAACGAACCGUAAUUAACAGUUAUAACCUGCUUUGUGGGCAUUCAAGAUUGAUACAUACUAACAACCGUGACAUCUCUUUGAUCCCCUCGAGGCCUCAAAAUGUGCAUCCAAGCAUUGUUCUCCAAACAGGAAUGAAGCAUGUGUGCGGGUGAAGACUACUAUUGAAAGCCCCAUUUGCAAUUUAGUAUGUACUGAUUCACACAACUUAGAUGGUUUGGGCAAUAUGAUGCUUUUCAAGAAAGUGGUACUAGGCAGCCACCCAAGAAAAGAGGAAAUGUAGUCAAGUCUGUUGCGUAUCAUAACUGUAUAAUUUUGAUUUUUUUACUAACUGUUUCUGCGAUUUAAUAGGCACAGCUGCUGAAUCUGAAAAUUAAGUUCCAAUGCUGAGGUAUAAGAGAUAGUAUGGUGUUCUGAUUUCUUAUAGUUUUCGGAGAAGUUCA